GUGGGGAAUUUUGGACAAUGGGGGCAACCCUGAUCCAGCCAUGCCGCGUGCGGGAAGAAGGCCUUCGGGUUGUAAACCGCUUUUGUCAGGGAAGAAAUCCUUUGGGUUAAUACCUCGGAGGGAUGACGGUACCUGAAGAAUAAGCACCGGCUAACUACGUGCCAGCAGCCGCGGUAAUACGUAGGGUGCGAGCGUUAAUCGGAAUUACUGGGCGUAAAGCGUGCGCAGGCGGUUUUGUAAGAUCGAUGUGAAAUCCCCGGGCUCAACCUGGGAACUGCAUUGGUGACUGCAAGGCUGGAGUGCGGCAGAGGGGGAUGGAAUCCCGCGUGUAGCAGUGAAAUGCGUAGAUAUGCGGAGGAACACCGAUGGCGAAGGCAAUCCCCUGGGCCUGCACUGACGCUCAUGCACGAAAGCGUGGGGAGCAAACAGGAUUAGAAACCCCAGUAGUCC
rnacentral:rRNA from 1 species